UCCGUAGGCGGGCAAUUAAGUCAGAGGUGAAAUCCCACAGCUCAACUGUGGAACUGCCUUUGAUACUGGUUGUCUUGAGUUAUAGUGAAGUAGAUAGAAUAUGUAGUGUAGCGGUGAAAUGCAUAGAUAUUACAUAGAAUACCGAUUGCGAAGGCAGUCUACUAACUGUAUACUGACGCUAAUGGACGAAAGCGUGGAGAGCGAACAGGAUUAGAUACCCUGGUAGUCC
rnacentral:rRNA from 1 species